rnacentral:rRNA from 1 species
UCCAUUUUGGAACUGGGGUUGUAGGACAUUCAUCACGAGUUGCAUAUGAUAGCGGAAACCGUUUGGAACGGCGGUACCAUAGAGGGCGAACGUCCCGUACGCGAAAUCAGAUUGUGGUUCCGAGUGUAUCCUGAGUAGGUCGAGUCACGUGAAACCUUGACUGAAUCCGCGAGGUCCAUCUCGCAAGGCUAAAUACUCUCCGACGACCGAUAGUGAACAGUAGAGUGAUCGAAUGAUGAAAAGCACCCCUUUAAGGGGAGGGAAAGAACCCGAAACCAUGCGUUUACAAGCAGUCGUAGCGCGUUUUAAUGCGCAACGGCGUGCCUUUUGGAUAAUGAUCCGGCGAGUUACCGUUGGCAGCGUGGUUAAGUCCUUCCGGGACGAAGCCGUAGGGAAACCGAGUCUUAAUAGGGCGAAUUUGUUGUCGGUGGUAGACGCGAAACCCAGUGAACUACCCAUGAGCAGGUUGAAGCGCGGGUUAUACUGCGUGGAGGACCGAACCCACUUGGGUUGAAAACCGAGGGGAUGACUUGUGGGGAGGAGUGAAAGUCUAAUCAAACUGGGAGAUAGCUCGUUCUCUCCGAAACAGCUUUAGGGCUGGCCUUGAGCCACUAUAUUGCGGGGGUAGAGACACUGAAGUGCAGAAGGGCCCAUCCCCGGGUACCUUCUCUAACCAAACUCCGAAUACCGCAAUAACUAUCUCAGGAGUGAGUCCGCGAGGGAUAAGCUUCGCGGUCGAGAGGGAAACAACCCAGAUCGCCAACUAAGGCCCCAGAUAGGUACUUAGUCACUAAGGAAGUUUUAGCGCAGAGACAGCCAGGAUGUUGGCUUAGAAGCAGCCACCAUUUAAAAAGUGCGUAACAGCUUACUGGUCGAGCGCUAGAGCGCCGAUAAUGAACGGGAGUAAGUACCUAGCCGAAGUUGCGGAAUCGCAAGAUUGGUAGGAGAGCGUUGUAUGGGAGACACGAGGGAUACCGCAAGGAGUCCUGUAGGCCCAUACAAGUGAUUAUGCCGGAAUGAGUAACGAUAAGUCAGGUGAGAAUCCUGACCGCCGCAAGCCUAAGGUUUCCUGGGGAAGGUAAAUCCGCCCAGGGUAAGCCGGUACCUUAGUCGAGGCCGCGAGGCGUAGACGAUGGAUUUGGGGUUAACAUUCCCCAGCUUGUAUAAUUUUCCGUACAGUGACGGCGUUUGAACGACGAUCGGGGCGUUGGAAAUCCCCGUUGCGCAAGCAUGAUCCUCCGGGAGAAAUCGUCCGACUGACGUCCACGAAAAGCUGGAUCGGGUUAAGGUUAUACGAACCGUACUAAAACUGACACAGGUAGGCGGGUAGAGCAUACUAAGGCGCUCGGGAUAACGCUGGUUAAGGAACUCUGCAAAUUGGCCCCGUACGUUCGCAAUAAGGGGCGCCAUUCAUUAAGAUUAUUCGUUUGGAUGGCCACAGUAAAUCGGCAACAGCAACUGUUUAUCAAAAACAUAGGACCGUGCGAACACGUAAGUGGAAGUAUACGGUCUGACGCCUGCCCGGUGCCGGUAAGUCAAGGAAGCCUGUUAUCGAAUUUUUUCGAGAAGCUUGCGACCAAAGCUCCGGUAAACGGCGGCCCUAACCUUGAGGGUCCUAAGGUAGCGAAGUUCCUUGUCGGGUAAGUUCCGACCUGCAUGAAAGGCGUAAUGACUGUUGCACUGUCUCGAUCAGCGACCCGGUGAAAUUGUAGUCGUGGUGAAGACGCCACGUACCCGCAGUAAGACGGAAAGACCCCGUGAACCUUUACUGUAGCCUGAAAUUGGUCAGAGGUCUGUUUUGUGCAGCAUAGGUGGGAG